rfam:Oryctolagus cuniculus chromosome 12, whole genome shotgun sequence.
CCAAAGGCUCUUUUAAGAGCCACCCCCGUGGUCGGCAAAGGGUGCG